UACGGGGGGGGCAAGCGUUGUUCGGAAUUACUGGGCGUAAGGGGCUCGUAGGCGGCCAACUAAGUCCGACGUGAAAUCCCCAGGCUUAACCUGGGAACUGCGUCGGAUACUGGAUGGCUUGAAUUCGGGAGAGGGAUGCAGAAUUCCAGGUGUAGCGGUGAAAUGCGUAGAUAUCUGGAGGAAUACCGGUGGCGAAGGCGGCAUCCUGGACCGACAUUGACGCUGAUGAGCGAAAGCUAGGGGAGCAAACGGG
rnacentral:rRNA from 1 species